rnacentral:siRNA from 1 species
UUGAAGAUAUCUUGUUGCGUC